GCUAGUUUUAAAGUUAAAAAUUUGUUAGAUUAGUCGGGCAACCUGCGGUGUAAACUACUUUCCAUAGUAAAACUGACGUUCAUGUACAAAAGUAUGGGGAUUAAAUAGGAUUAGAGACCCUAGUAGUCCAUACCCUGACCUAUGAGUGUUAAAUGGGAGAUAAAAUUAUUAACAUCUUCGUGUUUCAGCUAACGCGGAAACACUCCGCCUGGGGACUACGGUCGCAAGAUUAAAACUCAAAAGGAAUUGACGGAGAUCAGUACGUGCGGUGGAACAUGUGAUUUAAUGCGUCAAUACGCGCAAACCUUACCCUAUCUUGUUCCUUUCCUACCAAACCGAUUUAUAUAUGUUGAUUAUAAACCAAAUUAUAAAGUGGGAAAGAGAUCAGGUGUUGCAUGGUUGUCUUAAGUCCGUGCUGAUGAGUGUUCGGUUAAUUCCCUGAACGGACGGAACCCUUAGCUUUAAUUACUUGUUUUUUUUUAUUAA
rnacentral:rRNA from 1 species